UCUCAUAUCUGAAUGCUAUAUAAAUGCCUGAAGAAAUGUGGAAUACGUUCUCUUCAUCACUUCUUCUUCGAAAAAUGGUGACGUCCGUUCACGAACGUUGUUCGGAUAAAUAUUGUCAUACUGAUAUGGAAAGUUCAUGUUCGAAGAGUUAGGCACCGCGACCUAUUGGAGAGGCUGUACACCGGGUGGUCGGGCGAGCCAAGACUGAGAACAGACUCGUGACCGGAGUGUUUGACGUGUGCGAACAUCUGCAGAGCUGUCGCGGUCGCUCCACGGUCCUGUGUCUGAUCACUGAGAUGUCCACGCACACCGGCCUCUACAAGCUCGUGGAGGCGUUCUGUCGGGAGUACCUUAUUUGCCUGCUAAUGGUAA